AUGGCAGAGGUGGACAAGAUGAACAAUUGGUUCGAGAGGAGGUGGUUGUCGCAACGGAUUAACAAGAUUGCGGUGGCUCAAGAAGAGCAAAUACAUCUCUUCUGUUUAUUUUCAUAUUUUGCAUUUCAUUUUCUGUUGAAAAAUUCACUUAGUAAUUAUUCUUGCUUUGAGCAUAAUUUGCAUAGUGUUAUGUCUACGUGCAAUGUAGCAUCAUCUUUCCUUGCAAUCGGAGAAAAACACGAAGAUUUAAAAAAAAUUCAAGAUAGAAAAGGAGUAAAGCCUUGCAAAUCAACACAAUAA
rnacentral:rRNA from 1 species